GUCGAUCGUUCUCGACUCUUCUCCCCCACCACGCAUUUGGCCUCACUGCUCCACCUCCACCGCCCACCCUCCACCACACGGAUCUCAUCACUCGUUCGCCAAAAGAAGCUCUCAUCCCGGCCACCGGCGUACUCUUCCAGGCCGUCAUACGGAUCUCACUACUCCUUCGCCAGAAGGAGAAGAUCUCAUCCCGGGCGCCGCCGUACUCAUCAGGCCGCCGCGUAUAAGGCUCCUUUGAGCGGCGCAAUCUGCAAGUAGCCAUGUCCGACUCGCCCAGCUUCCCCCAUGUCGCCGCCUCCUCUCUGACGCCGGCGCCGCCUUCUUCCCCCAUGUUGUGCUGGUUCCACAUCUGAAGCUUGGUUUUUUGCGGGGCGGCCCAACGAGGCGUCCAUCCCAGAGGGCCCCUGGCCAUAGCAGCCGACUCCGCUCCUCCCUCCUCGCAUGCACCUAACACCUCGUUGAGUGAGGAGUUCUUGGUGUUCACCUUCUACAAGCUGGUGCCGUCGACGACGCCCGCGCACACCUCCACUUCGUGCAGGUUAGGAAGAUUACUUGGAUGCUUUUCAGGCUUCUCCAGCAUUAACCGAGCAUGCUCUCAGUACAAACAAUGACUUAUUCAGUAGGGAAAUUACUGGAGUAGCUGGCAUCAGUUGAUCAAUUUCAUCAGAGGUCAUGUUCAGCUGCAGAAACUGUGUUUGGCACACAUCGGAGGUCAUGUACUGCAUAUGAUCAAAUUAGAGAACAAGCAAGGAGUAUCAUCCAGUUUCAGUAAUUGAAAGUGAAAUGGGAUGAUCUGCAACACCACAAUUUGGAUGAAUUUGUUCAAAGAUGACACCAAUUUCAGCAGGCAUUGUACCUUUCAACCACCACCACCAAGCAGCAGAGGCGGGGCGCUUGAGUAAAUCAAAGUCGAUGAUCGGGGGCUCUACACCACCCCAGCAGCACCAGCUGCAACAGAGGCGAGGAAGACAACAGCAGUAGCAGAGGCCAGAGUGGCAGAAAAUUUCGCGUCGCUGGUGGCCGAAGCGGAUGAAGUGGCUGGUCCUGCGAGUGGCGGCGGUGGUCGCCUCUGUGGCAGCGGCGCAGGUGGAUGGUGGCGCUGCGCCGGACGGUUGAUGCGCUGGUCGCUUCCGUGGGCGGCGGUGGUGGGGCAGUGCAGGUGGGUUGCGGUGGUCGAGCUGCGCAGGUGGGCCUCCGUGGCGGCUGCGCAGGUGGUCGGUGGCGUUCGACCCGACGGUGGCUCCCGCCGGCGGGGGAGGAGGAAGGAAGGAGACGGGUUUAUUUUUCAAGGGGGUUAAACGUAUGAGAUUUUUUUUUCUUUUUUGCAAAAAACACAAUGAACACUUUUCUGGACGGAGAGAGUAGUUUUUAUGUCUUGAGGAUCCGUACUUGAUCAUGUUUAUAUUUGUUUAUUUAUUUGAACCAGAAACUGAAUCUAAUUUUUUAAAGGAAACUGAAUCAGUAUCUAUGUAUCAUCCUUCAUUUAUUUUCACUGACAUGACAGGACGGUUGACGCGAGGGCCGUCCAAACCAACUACCUGUACCACAUGUCCAGGUACGGGUCCGUCUCCACCUGUAACUGCGCCUUAGCGCUGCCGUCUGAGUUGCUUUCCACCGUUCGUACAGACAAACGGCAGCAACAGUGUAUUCCACAUUUUAUAUUCACGUACUGGAGAGGCAAUGAUGGGUAGCCCAGAUCACGAUGCAACUCUGUGCGGUUGGGAUAUCAGGACCAACUGGACUCGGGAGCCAAAACGCCAGUCCCCAUUUUUUGCUGCUAUUAUUAUGUGCCAACACUACUCUUUACUAACUCAUAUUAUUUUUUCCUUUUUUUAGAAGCAAAAAAAUAAUCCAAAUGAUGUUGCUGCAAGUUGCUGUUCCAAUCCUCGGCCACUUAUAAGCGUGAUAGUAUCAGGCACAUGUUUAAAUGCAAAGAAGGAGGGUACUGACAUUUUGGUUGAUGGGAGUUCAGAGGGACUUAGUCCAAAUGCAACAAUCUCUUCCGGUGGGGAGGAGUGACGUGCUGUAAAAACGAAGAUUGAAUUUUCUCUUGGAGAAAGCCCAUUUAACCUUGACGAGUUGGUUGACUUUAUGCAUGAACUUGGCGAUACAGGGACUGAUGAUAAUAUUAUAGGUUCCGAUCUAUCAUUUGAGGAUUUUGAUAUAUCAGAACCCUCUCUUAAUCUUCCAACUCCCCCUACGUAUCUAUACUCAGGCGUGGCCUCGCAGGCUUAUAUUUCAAACACUUGUCCUAUCUCUACGCACGGUGGUGCGGAAGGAGCUUCUAAUCUCGUCAGUGGCGAGGGAAUAAUGACACAGAUUUCAGCGCCACCCAUGGAUAUUUCCGCUAUUACCAAGCCCAUUCUAGACGCUAUCGACUUGUUGUUAAAGAAUGCUUUCGAAGCUUUAGAUGCCCCUACAUUAACAGAUUCUCAGCGCCAUGAGAUUUUUCAGGUAGUUCGGUCGAUGUUCCCUGCUGGUGACGUUGUUCCCCAAAUUCCCCUACCGUGCGGCUUGGGAAAUAUUUGUUUCGAUAUCAGAUUAGUGCAAGAAACCCGCAGAACCAUUGAGGAUCAGUCAAAGCAAAAGUGUGAAUUUGUUACUGCAGCAGAGAGAAGGGCUGAAUCCAUUUAAGCGUCUUUGAAAACUUCAGCAGAAGAGAUGUCAUCCAUACUGGAGAAACAAGUUGAGAAGAAGGAACGUGUGGAGGCCCUCUCUGCUCAACUACAAGAAGCUACUGCUGUGUUGCUUACAACCGAAGAAAGGGUCAAGCAGCUAGAGUCAGACCCUUCCGCCAAGCAAGCUGAAGCCAAGAAGUUGCUUGAAGAUUUGCUCGAAGCUAAUGUGAAAGCUUCCGAGGAGUUGGAUUCUCUUAAAGGGAAGACAUCGAUGCUGGAGGGCAAAGCCAAGUCUAUUACUAUAAGUCUGAAGGACUGGUGCUCGAUGUCCAACUGAGUGUUUGUUUCAAUAAAUUAGACAUGCUGUCUAUAUAUUUCUUCCAUUCAGACUUGUAUAAGACAGCCGAUUGGCUCUCCAUUUUCUCAUGUUUGCUCAUAUCAGUAGCACCAUUUGCAUUUGAUUUAUUCAUGUGUCUUGACGGACCAUGUGAUGUCA